ACGUGCUGGCCCUGUCCACACAGACGUCGACUCCAGCAAAAAUGUCCUGACUGACUUCAGGAGAGAGGAAUUAUUGCUACGUGCCUCUUUCCCAGUGAAGAAAAUCUCUGUUGGCUGCGAGCAGAGAAGCGGCGGAAGGAUUCCCGACUCCGGGAAGCCAGGUGUCGGAAGGAGGAAGUACGCUUGAAGGGGGUCCGGCUGGCCGACUCUGCACUCGUCCGUUCGUGGCCCACCGUGGUGGUCACCAAAUUGAGGGCUUCCUGGAAGGACCUCCUCACGGUGCCCAUCCACUGGGUCAUGUGGGUCUGGGCCACUGUGAGUUUAUCUCCCAGGUAAUCCAUGGGGCCAGCCAGGAGGAGAGGGAAGAAGGAAGUUAGGGAGGGAGAGAGCAAUUAAAACGCCAGUGUCCUCUUGCCUCUUUGGACUCUUUUGCUCAUGGAAGUUUUGGGCUUGCUUGGAGGAAAAAAAAUUAAAAACAGCAGCUUUCUUCAGGCAAACCAAGGGUAAGUAAACAUCCCUGAGCCAGGAGCCGGCUGCAUCCACGGGUGCCGCUCAGAAUUAAGAGGCAGCUAAGUGCCAGGCUGGGAGUCCACCCCAGCGGAGUUAUAAAGUCAACACACUGGGCAGUCCAGGUUCCAGUUCCAGGGCUCACCCAGCUGAUCGGCCGAGACAAGGAGCUUUGAGGAACAAGCCGGCUGCACUCACUCCAGGGCGUGACGGUCCCGAAAGGCGGGGGAUGGGGAUGGGGGUGGGGGUGGAGGGGGCGGCCUUUGGGCACCCUCGUCCUCACUUCCCUUCAGGUAGGCAGCCCCCCUGAGGUGCACCCUGGGAGGUUCCGGUGGGCAAGCUGCCGCACCCUGCUGCCCCCUGCCCGGCUGCCCUCGGCCAGACCCCGCUCACCUGACCCAUGCAGGUUUUCUGUCCUCUGGCUGGAGAUUCCAAACCUGUCGGCCGGCAGGCGGCUAGCUCACUUCCGGAGGCAGCCACCAGGGCCCCCGGGUCCCCUGGCUGAGCAGCCCGGGAUGACAUCAGCCCCCGUCUUAGCGAGGGGCUUCGCUGCCCAGGAAUGCAGGAGGGGCCUCGGGGAGGCGGAGGCGGUGGCGGCGGCCGCCCAGGGAGCUGACGUCCGCCCCCAUUUUUUUCUCCCCCAAGUCCCAACUCGCUCACGGUCCCUCGGGGCUGAUGGCAACUUCACGUGCCUGCCAGCCUACCCACCCCUGUGCCCUCACAGCAAGCGCACCAGGAAAUGCGGCUGCACGUGUGUGCAUGUGUGUGCACUCUGUGUGUGUGUGCGUGUAUGUCGGCGAUCUGGCAGCCCCGGGAAGGUUAGCACUGCUGGGAAACGGCUUCUGCCUCUAAGGUUACAGGCAGCGUCUUGGGACCUCUGGUCGGCUGUCAGUCUGUCUCCCUCUCGUGGUCUGUUUCUCUGUUGAUUUCUCAGCCUCGCUCUCCUCCCUCUCCCUGUGUCUCAACUUCCACUUGCUUGUCUCUAAGCGUCUCUCCUCUCUCUCUCCUUUUCAGCUGUCUCUCCCUCCCUCUCUGGAAGGCAACACUGAUCCAGGUGAGACAGCCUCUGAGGUCCCCCAGGAAGGACUGGGGAGGGCUGUAUUUCAGUACAGGCGGAGUUGCCAUGGCAACCCGGGGCACAGCAUCUGCCCUGUCCUGGGCAGCAGGCUCAGCACUGGGAGCAAUGGGAAUGAUUCAUGGUUUACACUAGGUCACGUGAGCUCCCUGGGUUUUAACCCUUACAGGGCUGGAGUACUAGGGGUUGGGGGUACGACUAGACCCUAACACCCACUGUCCUCGGCCAGGCCCCGCUCAUCUGACCCAUGCAGGUUUUCUGUCCUCUGCCUGGAGAUCCCAAACAUGUCAGGGGUUGUUAGAAGGGGGUGGGCAGCAGCUGGAUCCUGGAGGUCAGGCACACCUGUUAAAGGAGGUUUCUCCUUCUAGCAGGGAUCCAUGUCCCCCCAACCCCACUACUUUUACAGACAAGGAAAUGCAGAUUCAGAGACAUAGAUUCACUUGCCCAAGGUCACACAGCAAGGAUGUCACCAGGCAUGCACCAGAGCUGCUCCCACCCCAGGUUUUCCCAGGUCUGACAUGGUACCUGGCCCAGAGUCAGGGCUCUGUAAAUAUUUAUUGUUCGGACACCAAGUACACAAUUGAAACCCAGGUCGCUCAGAAUGCAUCCUAUGUCCUUUCCACCACCACCUCACUUCAGUUUUGAACAAAUAUUUGUUUUCUAGACACUGGUCAAAGGGCCUCACUUGAGAAAGUUUAUCACAAAGGACUCUCUGGCAAUAUGGCCAACAGAUCUCUUUCUUUUCUAUGUAUUCCCAGUCCUUACAGCUAUUCAUUCUCUUUCUCUCCCUGUCUCUCUUCUUCUUUUUUUGGAUACAGGAUCUCACUCUGUUGCCCAGGCUGGACUGCAGUGGCAUGAUCACAGCUCACUGCAGCCUUGGCCUCCCAGGCUCAAGCGAUCCUCCCACCUCAGCCUCCUCGGUAGCUAGGACUACAGGUGGAGCAACACCGUCAGUCAGAAGGCAGCGGAUGGCACAGGGCUUCCGCGUAAGGCCUGCAUCGCCUGAGUCAUGGUUUUCUCAUCUUGUAUGAGGCCCACCCCCUUCAAAAGGUUGUGACAAAAAAAACAACUGAGAUAAUUUGUGCCGCUGGCACAUAGUUAACACUCAAUAAGGCCGGGCGCAGUGGCUUACACCUCUAAUCCCAGCACUUUGGGAGGCUGAGGCAGGUGGAUCACUUGAGGCCAGGAGUUCGAUACCAGCCUGACCAACAUGGUGAAACCCCAUCUCAACUAAAAAUACAAAAAUUAGCCAGGCAUGGUGGUGUGCACCUGUAGUCCCAGCUACUUGGGAGCCUGAGGCAGGAGCAUCUCUUGAACCCGGGAGGUGGAGGUUGCAGUGAGCGGAGAUGGCACCACUGCACUCCAGCCUGGGCGACAGAACAAGACUCUGUCUCAAAACAACAACAACAACAAAAUAAUAAAUGGUGACCACAAGGGAUGAUCGUUUUUCUAUUAUAAUUCCUAUCAUCUCACUGUUCAAAUGAAUCACAGGACCCUAGACAGUCAGAAUCAAGACACCAGCAGGGACCAACCUAGGCCAACCUUCCCACUAAACUGAAGAAACAGGCCCAGACCGAGGGCUGCCCUAAGGCCUCACAGUCCAUCUGCAGCAGG
rnacentral:lncRNA from 1 species